rnacentral:rRNA from 1 species
UAACGAAUCUUCCGCAAUGCACGAAAGUGUGACGGAGCGACGCCGCGUGCGGGACGAAGCCUUUCGGGGUGUAAACCGCUAAUGAGAUCUAGAAAGUACUGAUCGGGUCUCGAUAAGGAGCGACUAACUCCGUGCCAGCAGUCGCGGUAAUACGGAGGCUCCAAGCGUUAGGCGGAAUCACUGGGCUUAAAGCGUGUGCAGGCGGCCUAUCAAGUGUCUUGUGAAAGCCCACGGCUCAACCGUGGAACUGCUCGACAUACUGGUAGGCUUGAGACAUUCAGGGGCGAGCGGAACGAGUCGUGGAGCGGUGAAAUGCGUAGAUAUGACUCGGAACGCCAGAGGCGAAAGCGGCUCGCUGGGAAUGUUCUGACGCUCAGACACGAAAGCCAGGGGAGCGAACGGGAUUAGAUACCCCCGUAGUCC